CAAAAGUUGGCUCACAACAUAGAGGCCGCCCACGGGGGAGAAGCGCAGCAGCGGCGGCGGCGGAGGCAUGGCGGCGCGAAACCUCCUGAGGCGUGCGGUGGGCGGCCACCGCUUCCCUGUCCCCGUCGCCACAGGCGCCCUUGUUGGUUCUGCAAGCCGGAGCAUCGGCGCCGCCGCUCAGCCUCCCCCGCCGUCGCUCUUCUCCACUGGGUUCCCAUCUCCUCCCUUCACCGCCCCAGAACCCCUCACGCCGGCGCUACUGCGGCGGGGGGUCUCCGCGGCAUCGGGCCUUCGUCAUUACGCAGCCCCAUCCAGUGUGGAGGAAGCAGUGGGAAACUUGGAAUUGCAUGCACCCAAGGCAAACCGUCGGUCAAAUAUCCCAAAGAAAAAUGGAACAGCCAUGAUUCUUCCACUCCAUUUCCAUUACGAAGAUGUGCUACGUCAGGAUCUGUUGCUCAAACAGAAUCAUGCCAAUAUCAUGCAAGUUCCAGGGUUGUUUGAGAUCAAACUAGCACCAAAAGCAGGCUCCGAUCUCAAGAUCCCAAUUGGAAAAAUGGCUAUGGAAGUUUUGAGUGGUCAGAGAUUCAAAGAGGCAAAAAGUGAUCCUUUUGCUAAAGCAAGAAAGUCGUCUCGAACCAAUCCAUUUAUCGGGGCUGACAAGGACAGUAGCACUGCCUUUGCACAACCAACUGUUCUCCGAGGACAUGCAAUGUACAACUUCUUAGUGAGGAUGUUAACAGUGAUGCCCAUGUUAGAUUCUCGGGCUGAAAUUCGGGAAAACACUAUAAAAUUCUUCAUGGAAACAGAGUUCUGCGAGUUCUCUCCGGAAUUGGAAGACCAUUUCGAGAUCUUUGAGCACAUCCGAGGUUUCAAUGUGACUAUCGCUACUUCAGCCGAUACAAAGGAUGAGACCUCACUACUGUGGAGUGGCUUCACGCUAAAUGAUGAGGGAGAGACUAAGUAAAUUGACUGUCUGGCAGGGGAUGAGGGCUGUUGAUGCUGUCAAAAUGAUAUUGGAGUUCGGGAGGUUCAUGCUCAUGGUGAGCAAUGCAGCAUCCUUUUUUUCGUAGCGAUGUGUGGAGCUCAUGUUUGAUCACUACAUCUAGUACUAUAUAUGAACACAAUAAUCUAGGCUCUAAUAAGCAUCGUUUUGAUUAUUUCUGUGGUUCCUGCUGUAGUAACAUGGAAUGCUCGUUUCUCUUUGCCAAAA